UAGGGAAUAUUGGGCAAUGGGCGCAAGCCUGAUCCAGCCAUGCCGCGUGAGUGAAGAAGGCCCUCGGGUUGUAAAGCUCUUUUGUCCGGAAAGAAAAGCAUCGGGUUAAUACCCCGGUGUUCUGACGGUACCGGAAGAAUAAGCACCGGCUAACUUCGUGCCAGCAGCCGCGGUAAUACGAAGGGUGCAAGCGUUACUCGGAAUUACUGGGCGUAAAGCGUGCGUAGGUGGUUCGUUAAGUCUGAUGUGAAAGCCCUGGGCUCAACCUGGGAAUGGCAUUGGAAACUGGCGGACUGGAGUGCGGUAGAGGGUAGCGGAAUUCCCGGUGUAGCAGUGAAAUGCGUAGAGAUCGGGAGGAACAUCCGUGGCGAAGGCGGCUACCUGGACCAGCACUGACACUGAGGCACGAAAGCGUGGGGAGCAAACA
rnacentral:rRNA from 1 species